rnacentral:sRNA from 1 species
AGAUUUAUUCCAGCCGAGACCUUGAGGAAUCCAUAAACAAAAUUAGGGAAAUAUUAUCUGAUGACAAGCAUGAUUGGGAGCAGAGAGUAAAUGCUCUAAAAAAGAUUAGAUCUUUACUUUUGGCUGGUGCUGCUGAGUAUGAUAACUUCUUUCAACAUUUGCGUCUUUUGGAUGGAGCCUUUAAACUCUCUGCUAAGGACCUGCGGUCUCAGGUAGUGCGGGAGGCUUGUAUCACGUUGGGGUAAGGACUGCGAUGCUCCAUAUUCUCACCAUAAAAUAGUGUCACCACAGAGCUUCAGAGAUGUCUCCUUGAACAUGUGAGCUGGGUCUCUUUAAUGUAACUUCUGACUAGUCUCCAAGACCCAUUCCAGUUAACACUUCUUUCAGUAGUUUUACAAUACUUUUUGCUCAAUUAUGUGAAGUGUGACAGAUUUUAAAUUUUAUUCAGUGACAUAGCUCUGAAGCCUUUAUUUCAAACUUUGAAGCAGUUAUUAAUAUGGAAAAGUGAAAUUCUAUAAAAUCCUGUUUCUCUGAUUUUUCAUUGAUUUUUGCUGGCAGGCAAUAGCGUGUUUAUCAGAAUGUUUGUUCCUAGAAGAGUA